ACGGGGGGACUCCUACGGGAGGCAGCAGUGAGGAAUAUUGGACAAUGGGCGCAAGCCUGAUCCAGCCAUGCCGCGUGCAGGAUGACGGUCCUAUGGAUUGUAAACUGCUUUUGCACAGGAAGAAACAACUCUACGUGUAGAGUCUGACGGUACUUGAGAAUACGAU
rnacentral:rRNA from 1 species